CCUACGGGGCGCUGCAGUGGGGAAUAUUGGACAAUGGGCGAAAGCCUGAUCCAGCCAUGCCGCGUGUGUGAAGAAGGCCUUCGGGUUGUAAAGCACUUUCAGUGGGGAAGAAAGCCUUGGGGCUAAUACCCUCGAGGAAGGACAUCACCCACAGAAGAAGCACCGGCUAACUCCGUGCCAGCAGCCGCGGUAAUACGGAGGGUGCGAGCGUUAAUCGGAAUUACUGGGCGUAAAGCGCGCGUAGGCGGUCUGAUAAGCCGGUUGUGAAAGCCCUGGGCUCAACCUGGGAACGGCAUCCGGAACUGUCAGGCUAGAGUGCAGGAGAGGAAGGUAGAAUUCCCGGUGUAGCGGUGAAAUGCGUAGAGAUCGGGAGGAAUACCAGUGGCGAAGGCGGCCUUCUGGACUGACACUGACGCUGAGGUGCGAAAGCGUGGGUAGCAAACAGGAUUAGAUACCGAGUAGUC
rnacentral:rRNA from 1 species